rnacentral:rRNA from 1 species
UGGUCAAGUUAUUAAGGGGGCAGGGCGGAUGCCUUGGCACUAGGAGCCGAUGAAGGACGUGAUAAGCUGCGAUAAGCUUCGGGGAGUUGCACGUAAACUUUGAUCCGAAGAUUUCCGAAUGAGGAAACUCACUUAGAG